UACGAGGGGGGCAAGCGUUGUUCGGAUUUAUUGGGCGUAAAGGGUGCGUAGGCGGUUUGGCAAGUCUUGUGUGAAAUCUUUGGGCUCAACCCAAAGUCUGCACAAGAAACUGCCGGGCUUGAGUAUGGGAGAGGUGAGUGGAAUUUCCGGUGUAGCGGUGAAAUGCGUAGAUAUCGGAAGGAACACCUGUGGCGAAAGCGGCGCACUGGACCACAACUGACGCUGAGGCGCGAAAGCUAGGGGAGCAAACAGG
rnacentral:rRNA from 1 species